AAAAAUUUAGUUAAAAAAUAACAUUAGCUUGUCAAGCUAAAAUUAUUAUAGUUAAUAAUUUUUA
rnacentral:tRNA from 1 species